rnacentral:lncRNA from 1 species
AUUAGAGUUUUUGCUUUAGGGUAUGAACAUGGUCAUACUGGCCCCAUGGAUGCCCAGUUACGUUCCGCAGAGGUGAACAGUGAUGAGUGCAAAGGAAGCCUGGAUUGAAGUUCCUCACUGUGACUCCCUGUGGUCGUAGAGUGACUUUUCUCUGUUUUGACCCCAAGACUCAUUCACAGGAGCUAUGGAGAAUCCUGCUGCAUCUCAGGAAGAGCAGUUGGGCGUCACCUCACCUAUGCAGUCUUUCCAAUCCUUGCAGACCUGGUUAGAUGGCCCUUUUCUGUUUUCCUACAGCACCCUGCCUCACCCCAUUUACCACAGAAUAACAUUGACAUCCACAAAUCAGAUGGAAGUGCCAGUAAUCUUCAAAAUGAAAGAAUGGAGCAUUCUCCAGAAGUGAGCAAACCCAUUUCCCUUCCUCAUGUCUAUCUUUCCUGCACUCAGAAAAAUGCUGACAGUGGAAGUACAAAUAAAAGGUUCAUUCUGAAUUUGGAUAAAUUAUUUGAUCUGUUAUCAAAAGUCCUUCCUUUGCUCCAUGACAAAAUAUGUUCGUACAGCAAUUUCCUUCCAGUUUAAGUUCCUCUAUGAACAAAUGGCCAAAAACUGUGGUCAUUCUAGUGCCGUGUUCAACAUUUACUCCAAAACACUGCCUAAGGAUUGGGUCAGAAGCAUCAUCUGCUUAUGGAAUGAUUUACCCUGCAGAGUCUUUGGAGAGAAAGGAGUGUCUUAGUUUAAUCCAGUAUCAGGC